rnacentral:rRNA from 1 species
UACGUAGGGUGCGAGCGUUGCCCGGAUUUAUUGGGCGUAAAGAGCGUGUAGGCGGUUUGGUAGGUCCGUUGUGAAAACUCGAGGCUCAACCUCGAGACGCCGAUGGAAACCAUCAGACUAGAGUCCGGAAGAGGAGAGUGGAAUUCCUGGUGUAGCGGUGAAAUGCGCAGAUAUCAGGAAGAACACCCGUGGCUAAGGCGGCUCUCUAGUACGGUACUGACGCUGAGACGCGAAAGCGUGGGGAGCGAACAGG